rnacentral:rRNA from 1 species
UUCGAUGCAACGCGAAGAACCUACCUGGUCUUGACAUCCCGGAGACCCUUAGGAAACUAAGGGGGUGGCUUCCAUCUGGAAGAAUCUGGAGACAGGUGCUGCAUGGCUGUCGUCAGCUCGUGUCGUGAGAUGUUGGGUUAAGUCCCGCAACGAGCGCAACCCUUGCCUUUAGUUGCCAGCAGUUCGGCUGGGCACUCUAAAGGGACUGCCGGUGUUAAACCGGAGGAAGGUGGGGAUGACGUCAAGUCCUCAUGGCCUUUAUGACCAGGGCUACACACGUACUACAAUGGCCGAUACAAAGGGCAGCGACACUGCGAGGUGAAGCCAAUCCCGUAAAAUCGGUCUCAGUCCGGAUUGGAGUCUGCAACUCGACUCCAUGAAGUUGGAAUCGCUAGUAAUCGUGGAUCAGCAUGCCACGGUGAAUACGUUCCCGGGCCUU